UACGUAGGCAGCAAGCGUUGUUCGGAAUUACUGGGCGUAAAGAGUGUGUAGGCGGUGCUCUAAGUUCGGUGUGAAAUCUCCCGGCUCAACUGGGAGGGUGCGCCGGAAACUGGGGUGCUGGAGCGCGGGAGAGGAAAGCGGAAUUCCUGGUGUGAGCGGUGAAAUGCGUAGAUAUCAGGAGGAACACGGCCGGUGUGAGACGGCUUU
rnacentral:rRNA from 1 species